AUUGAACGCUGGCGGCAUGCCUUACACAUGCAAGUCGAACGGCAGCACGGGAGCUUGCUCCUGGUGGCGAGUGGCGAACGGGUGAGUAAUACAUCGGAACGUACCCUGAAGUGGGGGAUAACGUAGCGAAAGUUACGCUAAUACCGCAUAUUCUGUGAGCAGGAAAGAGGGGGAUCGCAAGACCUCUUGCUUUAGGAGCGGCCGAUGUCGGAUUAGCUAGUUGGUGAGGUAAAGGCUCACCAAGGCGACGAUCCGUAGCGGGUCUGAGAGGAUGAUCCGCCACACUGGGACUGAGACACGGCCCAGACUCCUACGGGAGGCAGCAGUGGGGAAUUUUGGACAAUGGGCGCAAGCCUGAUCCAGCCAUGCCGCGUGAGUGAAGAAGGCCUCGGUUGGUAAA
rnacentral:rRNA from 1 species